rnacentral:tRNA from 1 species
UCCCCGGUGGCUCAACAGGUAGAGCGGGUGGCUGUUAACCACUAGGUUGGGGGUUCGAGUCCCUCCCGGGGAG